GACGAACGCUGGCGGCGUGCUUAACACAUGCAAGUCGAACGGACAGGCCCUGCUUUUGCGGGGUGCUCGAGUGGCGAACGGGUGAGUAACACGUGUGUAACCUGCCCUUGACUUUGGGAUAUCUUCUGGAAACUGGGGCUAUUAUCGGAUAGGAGCUCCUGCUGCAUGUUGGGGGUUGGAAAGUUUCGGCGGUUGGGGAUGGACUCGCUGCUUAUCCGCUUGUUGGUGUGGUAGUGGCUUACCAAGGCUUUGACGGGUAGCCGGCCUGAGAGGGUGACCGGCCACAUUGGGACUGAGAUACGGCCCAGACUCCUACGGGAGGCAGCAGGGGGGAAUAUUGCACAAUGGGCGGAAGCCUGAUGCAGCAACGCCGCGUGCGGGAUGACGGGCUUCGGGUUGUAAACCGCUUUCGCCUGUGACGAAGCGGGAGUGACGGUAAUGGGUAAAGAAGCACCGGCUAACUACGUG
rnacentral:rRNA from 1 species